UAAUUAGAAGGGAAGGGGAGAAUCUAUCACGUGCUUGCGAGGGAGGGCGCUGUUUUGCUGAAAUAGCACCUGUUCUAGUAGAGUUUAAAACAAGCUCAUAGUGAGAAAAUCAAGGUGCUUGCAACAUUGAGGAUUUUUUCUUCUCUGCAGAACUGGUUUCAGUAGCCAGUUUCCUAUGAGAUCAGUCUUGAACAAACAGAGGAAGGGAGGUUCUGAAUUAAAAAGCAUUUUUACAGCAUCCAGUAAUGCAAUGGCUGGACGACCACGAUGUGUCAGAUUAACUGGGUGGACACACUGGAUAUUAUCAACAAUUCUGCUGCUGUGGAGUUACCAGAUCAGUGGACAAGGACAAGGUAGGCAUUUUGCCAUAAAAAUGGCUAAGGUUGUCUUGUUGGAUACCCUUUGCUGCUUAUUUGCUGAGUUGUGUCCUGUGGAAGAUGACAAGAAAACUGAAGUGACUGUAUUAGCGAAGCUGUUUGGCAGAUAUUAUAAUUCAUUGACAACAUUCACACUUUGAGAUCAGAUUUUGCACUUUGAUAUUUAUUAUUAUUAGUGUUAUUUUGUUUAGCUUUGUAUUUUUAAAUGGCUUUUUAAGGUAACUGCAACAUACAUGUAUAACAAGGGGGAUAUACUUACAAUUCCUGCAAGACAGCAGAAGGCAGAAAGACUUGCUGAUGAU
ensembl:lncRNA